rnacentral:rRNA from 1 species
GACGAAAGCUGGCGGCGUGCUUAACACAUGCAAGUCGAACGAAGUGGCGAACGGGUGAGUAACGCGUAAUCAACCUGCCCUUCAGAGGGGGAUAACAGGUGGAAACGACUGCUAAUACCGCAUACGGAAGGAGGAGAUCGCGUCUGAUUAGACAGUUGAAGGGUUCACGGCCCACCAAGGCGAUGAUCAGUAGCCUGUCUGAGAGGAUGAACGGCCACAUUGGGACUGAGACACGGCCCAGACUCCUACGGGAGGCAGCAGUUGGGAUUCUUCCGCAAUGGACGAAAGUCUGACGGAGCAACGCCGCGUGAGUGAUGACGGCCUUCGGGUUGUAAAGCUCUGUUAAUCGGGACGCGGUACCUGAAUAGAAAGCCACGGCUAACUACGUGCCAGCAGCCGCGGUAAUAC